rnacentral:rRNA from 1 species
CACGCCGUAAACGAUGAGUGCUAGGUGUAGGAGGUAUCGACCCCUUCUGUGCCGCAGUUAACACAAUAAGCACUCCGCCUGGGGAGUACGGCCGCAAGGUUGAAACUCAAAGGAAUUGACGGGGGCCCGCACAAGCGGUGGAGCAUGUGGUUUAAUUCGACGCAACGCGAAGAACCUUACCAAGGCUUGACAUCCACAGAAUCUCAUGGAAACGUGAGAGUGCCCUUCGGGGAACUGUGAGACAGGUGG